rnacentral:tRNA from 1 species
GAGCCCAUAAUCUCGCGAAGCGCGCUGCUGAGGACUCGUAAUCCGUUGGUUCCAGGUUCAAGUCCUGGUGGGCCCACCA